GAUGAACGCUGGCGGCGUGCCUAAUACAUGCAAGUCGAGCGAACAGACGAGGAGCUUGCUCCUUUGACGUUAGCGGCGGACGGGUGAGUAACACGUAGGUAACCUACCUAUAAGACUGGGAUAACUUCGGGAAACCGGAGCUAAUACCGGAUAAUAUUUCGAACCGCAUGGUUCGAUAGUGAAAGAUGGCUUUGCUAUCACUUAUAGAUGGACCUGCGCCGUAUUAGCUAGUUGGUAAGGUAACGGCUUACCAAGGCAACGAUACGUAGCCGACCUGAGAGGGUGAUCGGCCACACUGGAACUGAGACACGGUCCAGACUCCUACGGGAGGCAGCAGUAGGGAAUCUUCCGCAAUGGGCGAAAGCCUGACGGAGCAACGCCGCGUGAGUGAUGAAGGUCCUCGGAUCGUAAAACUCUGUUAUUAGGGAAGAACAAACGUGUAAGUAACUGUGCACGUCUUGACGGUACCUAAUCAGAAAGCCACGGCUAACUACGUG
rnacentral:rRNA from 1 species